GGAGUUAGAUGGCUGCUGUGAGGGCUGGGAACAGUCAGUGCUUAGAGGAGCUGCUUGUGACAAACAUUGAAGAGAGGAGCCACCCACGAGCUCAGGGAUGAUCCCAGGAGAAGCAGGACAGUGCCAGGGUCUCUGCAGGGCACCUGGUGAUGGAGGAGCUCCCAUGUGACAAAAGCAUUGGCGCCAUCAGGCUGCACCUCCCUGUCUCAGCACUGUGACCCCAGUGCCCUCCCUGGCACUCAGGGUGUCCAGCCAGCCCCAAACUCCAAAGCCAGCCCUGGGAUGUCCUCAGAGACAUUCAGGCCUCCCAGGGGAGAUGAAGCCAGCACACCUUCCACCCCCACAGGAUCAGCCUGGGCUCUGACCCAGCCCCUGCUCCAGGGUCAGCCUGGGAAUCCACCCCCAGAGGAUGGGGCGAGUGUGGGUGUCUGCUCAGAAGGAAAUCCCAAACCUGGAGGCCUGGGGAGCUCUAAAGUCCCUGGGGGAUAUGGGGUCCAGGCAGGGAGCCUGGAUGUGUGUUGGACUGGAUGAAGGGCUCAGGAUGAGGAUGGAAAAGCUUGACUUUGCCUGGACCUGAAACACUGACACAGGAUUUGUGUUUUCUUAUUGUCCCCUCCCUGCAUUGACUGCCUGAAUUUCCCCCCAGCUCUGAGGUACCAUGGCCUCUCUGCUGCCUCAUCAUCAGUGCCCAGGGAUGUACCACGGCCAGGGCUGGUGCUUAUAUACUCUCCUUGAUAAUUUUUUCUGACAGUUCCUUGCUAGUAGUUGGAAAACAGAAAAUAUCUAUUUACAGGGGGCAAGAGAGCAGAAAAAUUGAUAAAAAGGAGUCACACUGAAUAAAGCUGGUAACUUUGGGAACCCCUGGCACUGGGUUCUCCCCAUCCUGGCACGCACCAUGGCACAGGCUUGGGAUACUCACAUGGCUUUGACUGGGCCUCACUGAGUCCCCUGGCUCUGGGAGCUGGGGAUUCAGGGGAAAGCCCAGGACAGGGAUCCUUCCCCUGGAAAUGCUGUGUAAGCAGCAGCACCUUCCUGCCACCCCAUUCCCUCCUGACACAUGUGCAGGGACCUGCUCUGGGGCUUGUCCACACAGGGCACCACUCCUGAAGCAUGUCCUGUGGAGGGUCCCACCACCCCUGGAGCCCCCCUGUCCCCGUCAUGACUCUGAGGUGGUGCAGAGCCCCAUCUGUGCAGUGCUUGGGUCUGGCUCCAUCUGCAGCCCCAGCCGGGGGGGUCUCGGUAAAUGCAGCUCUGAGUCCCCCCUGGCCAAGGAGGUUCUGCUGGGUGGAACACCCCGGGGACUGUUCCUGCAGAGCCAGCACGAGCCUGGCCCUGCACAGAGAGCCCUGCCACUGUCCCCAAAGCCACCAGCACUGCCCCGGCAUGGGGACCCUCAGGCUGGGCACAGGGUGGGGUACAGAGGUACAGGCUGGGGUGCAGGCUGGGGCCAGGCUGGGGUACCGAUCGGGCUUCAGGUACAGGGUGGGGUACAGACUGGGGUGCAGGCUGGGGUCAGGCUGGGGUAAAGAUCAGGGUUCAGGUACAGGCUGGGGUACAGAGGUACGGGAUGGGGUACAGGUGCAGGCUGGGGUACGGAUUGGGGUUCAGGCUGGGUGCAGGCUGCCUGGCCCGGGCAAUAAGGACACCGCGCUCCAUGGUUCCCACGCGGCCGGGAAAUCUCCGGCAGGAUCCGCAGCGCCUCCGGCCCCGGGCUGGGCUCAGGCUCCGGCUUGCGGAGCGCUGCUGGCUCCAGGCGCUGCUGUCUGCGCUGCCUGUCGGGGCAGGGCCAUCCCUCCCUGCUGCGGAGCCACAGCGCUGCUCCCGCGUCACCAGCGCACAAACCACCGUGGGAAUCCCUGGGGACACGGGAGCAGCGGGACUGGUGACCGGGGAGCCUCGGGGCGCUGCUGGGGGCCUCUGGAGCCCGACUGGGGGAUGCUGCUUUAGGGGUCAUGACUGGCAAAGCUCUGUGCAGGAUUUGUGCUCUCCCGUGCCCUGUGGGUCCCACAAAUCAAAGCAACACCAGGGUAAGAAGCUGAAAGUCCUUUUAAGGGACAACUUUGGUACAGGGAAUUGGGGUCCCCAGCAUUCCCCCACAGCACAAGGACAUCCCAGGGUGAGACAAUGUCCAGCAGCACGGCUGUGUCACCACACCAUCGUUUCAGUGCCCUGCUGAGGGGUCCCUGCUGCAGCAGCAGCUUUCCAGCCCCUUUUUAAAAUUGGGGCCCAGCCACAUCCAUCUGUCCCAGUGUCACUGUCACACAGGCAGAGCUCCCUGUGGCACAGAUCCUUCGGGCACAGCCUCAUCUAUCCCCUGUCCCGCAGGAGAGGCCUGGGGUCCCCAGCAGUGCACCAAGGUCCUGCACACAGCUGAAUGAAGGGCGGUGGGGCCCCAGGCAGGGAUGUCACCUCCUGCCUUGUCUGAAGUAAGGUGGUGGCCCUGCCUGUGUCCUGUGCCCCGCUGUGCCGAGGGGAGGUGGCUGUGCCAGCUCAGCUCCUGCGGUGCCUCUGUCCUGCCCCAGCAAGGGGGGGCCAGCGCCAGCACCGGCCUCCCCGGGGCCACUGUCCUUGUCCCCGGGCUGCACAGCGGUGACCUCACUUGCCCGCAGGAAUCCCGUUCUCCCCAGCUCCUGCCGAGCCGAGCGCCAUCUCCAUCCGGCUCCUGGGAAGCUGCGAUUCCCGGGGCUGCCCCACCGGGGCUGUGUCCAGCUGCACCACUGCAGAGAGAAGGCUCCUGUCACCCACUGGGCCAGCGCUGGGACAUGGGGCAUCCUGAGGGACUGAGGAGUGGGGCGACCCCUCCUCACACCACCCCACCCCCCAUCCCACGUGCAGGAUAGCAAAGGGCCCUGUAUCCCCCCAGGCCACCCCA